UGCUGAGGGUGAGCAUUUCGUAAAUGCCAUCUCUGCUACCUGGAGUGAAAAAUUCUGAACAUGUCACCAGUGAAGAUUUAUUAUAGGAAUUCAUCUGAAUCAGGAAUAAGCUGUGCUCCCCUAAAGCCCACCCAUCACAGCAAGCGAUUGGAUGCAGCUGUCCCACUGACGAAUCAAAGAAAUUUCUGUCUUUUGAAUUAUACAAACCUACUCUCUUACUAGCUACAUGUCUCUCAACUAUGCAGAGUUGAGUGGAGAUUUUCACAACCACCACCAGCCCCCAGGGAGGAUGGAAUAAAAAUGGAAAGCUGUCCAUGAGACCAACUUCAUCGAAUCCUCUCAUAUGAAGAGGAAUGAAUUAAGAACAUUUAUGAUUAAUAGAAUGACCAUUGGGUGCUGGGCGGUCUUUUAUCCUUGG